UGUCAAGGACACGCCCAAAACUAUGUUGCUGUUGUAAUUUUCAAAGACUGGGAACUGCGGCAGGGGGAGUUACAAUUAAAGCAAACAUCGGCGUAUCAGUUUAUUCAUUCAGCAAACGUUUAUGAAGCAACAAACGUAUGCCCAAUAUUUCAGUCUUGCUGCUCUUCCUCCCCAAAUUCAGGAACCUUUGCAACGGAAAGCGGCCUCGGGCAGGCGCCUUUUGAGCAGAGGAGUAAAACCGCCAGAGCGUCUCAUCUCUGGGCCCGGAGCCCCAGGCUCGUUCUCCUCAGCCCCUGCCGGCGGCGGCGCUCUUGCAGCCAUUCCUGUGAGGUCGUUUUUCGGAGCAGCCGGGCCGGCCGAGGAGUAAGUAGGCGCCAGAGUUCUAGCUCGGGCAUCUGCCUCGGGGCCCUGUCGCCGCCGCGCCCCGGAUCCUGCGUUGGUCCUGUCCGAUAAAGCGGAGGUCGGCCCUGCUUGCUGACGAGACCGUAAAAACCACGGCGCUUGGCGCCCUGCCGCCGCCACACCACACCAAAGUGUACCUGCCCGAGGCUGGCUUCGGGCGCGAGCUUGCAUUUGUGACUUUCUCUUACCGUCUUUGUUUGCUUCGUUUUAAGUAUUACUUCCAGAUAAGGGACACAUUCUCGAAAUACUUUGAAAACAGUUUUGAAUUUUGUUCCUCCCGUUGAAACGGAUUAAAUUUGGACCUUUCAAGCUACACUGUGCAAUCAUCAAUCUCAAUAAGCUCUUAAUAGGCUCAUUCUUCCGUAGGCUACAAACAAAAUAAAGAUCAUAACAUCCUGCGGAGGAAGCCAUUGGUCCAUGUAGAGUCGCCAGAUGUCAAUUAAGAGUAGAUCGCUUUUCAGAGAAUACUUAACGACUCUGGUUUAGACCUAGACUUGGAACUUUGAGGUGUUUGGAACACUGGGCAGAAUUUUCCUUUGUUACAAAACAAAGUUUAUGAGAACGUAAUUUGUUUUUGUUGUUUUUGUUGUUAGUAUUGAAGCAAUUUUGGUGCAAACCAAAGGAUAACAAAGCAAAACAAUGAAAAUCACCCAGAGUUCCAUUACCCACACUGAACCAACUUGAAUAUAUUGGUUUAUUUUGGCUUUUUUCCAUAUGAAAUGUUAAAUUUUCUUGUACUCACGUGUAGAAUAUGAUAGUUUGCUCUUUCAUGUAACAUGUCUCCCAAUUUUUACAUACAUAAUUCUAGUUUCAGUAAGCAUUUUUAUAACUACACUCUUUUUCCUUUGUUAUUGUAUGUCUAGGUUAUUUCAACUUUGCACUGUUGCUUGUAACUACUAUGUGAUGAGGCAGUAGCUAGAUUAGUAUUUAGAACGUGAGCAUUCAAGUCAGGCAGACCUGGGCUUCACAACUUACUGUGCAAUUUCAAAGAGUUUAACUUUUUUGAGCCUCAUUUUACACAGUAACAUGGGGAUAAUGGUUCUGAUUGCAUAGAAUUAUUAUGAGAGUAAGAUGAAAUAAUGAGUGGAAGUGCCUGCAGCAUGUAUUGUUAGUAAAUGCUGUAUUACUGCAGGCAAAUUUUUCUUUUGUUGUGGUUUUUUGGUGACAUGUAUGAUUUAUUUCCAGAUUUUGAAUAUACUUAAAUACUAUUAACCACAGUAGGGGUAUGGGGUUUGAUCCACAGCUUUUCAUAUAUUUUAUACAAUAUAUUGUGUGUUUGAUACACAGCUUUUCAUAUACUUUAUUAUAAGUAACACAUGAAUUAGAAAUAAUUUUUCACAAUAGGAAAAACUUUUUAAAAAUUAAAAUUUAUAAUCCUGCUAACCGUAGGUGAAUAGUCACAUUUUGGGCAAUCCUUUUUUAUGCAUAUAUAUGUAGUGGUUUUAUUUUAUUUUAUUUUAUUUUUAUUUUUUGAAACGGAGUCUUGCUCUGUUGCUCAGGCUAGGGUGCAAUGGUGCGACCUCGGCUCACUGCAACCUCCGCCUCACGGGUUCAAGCAAUUCUCCUGCCUCAGCCUCCCGAGUAGCUGGGAUUACAGGCGCCCGCCGCUGCGCCCGGCUAAUUUUUAUAUUUUUAGUAGAGACGGGGUUUCACCAUCUUGGCCAGGCUGGUCUCGAACUCCUGACCUCGUGAUCCACUCGCCUCAGCCUCCCAAAGUGCUGGGAUUACAGGCAUGAGCCACCGUGCUGGGCCUGUAGUGUUUUCUAAAAAUAGAAUUAUAUUAUAAAUUGGGUUUAUCAACUUGCUGAAAAUGGCAGAGGCCAGUGCGAUGAGAGUAGGGUGAUUAAGGGAGUAGGAAGUAAUGCAGGAAAGGGAGUUUGUAGGAUUUAGAUUUCACUGAAAGUGUACUGGACAGGUUGGGCAUAGUGGCUCAGGCCUGUAAUUGUGUCACUUUGGGAGGCUGAAG
rnacentral:lncRNA from 1 species